UAGGGAGCGAGCGUUGUCCGGUUUUACUGGGUGUAAAGGGUGCGUAGGCGGAUUUUCAAGUCAGUAGUGAAAUGCAGGGGCUUAACCCCUGAGCUGCUAUUGAAACUGAGAGUCUUGAGUGGAGUAGAGGCAGGCGGAAUUCCCGGUGUAGCGGUGAAAUGCGUAGAGAUCGGGAGGAACACCAGUGGCGAAGGCGGCCUGCUGGGCUUUAACUGACGCUGAGGCACGAAAGCAUGGGUAGCAAA
rnacentral:rRNA from 1 species